rnacentral:rRNA from 1 species
AUUCCAGCUCCAAUAGCGUAUACUAAAGUUGUUGCAGUUAAAAAGCUCGUAGUUGAAUUUCUGGCCUCGGACAGCGGUCUGCCUCAAACGAGGUACGCACCACCUGCUCAGGUCCAUCCUCGGAGAAAACAUGCCUGUGAUUCAGUUCAUGGGUAUGGGAUCUUCGUCAUUUACUGUGAGCAAAAUAUAGUGUUCAAAGCAGGCUUAUGCCGUUGAAUACAUUAGCAUGGAAUAAUAAAAUAAGACCUUGGUCUAUUUUGUUGGUUUGUACUCCAAGGUAAUGAUUAAUAGGGAUAGUUGGGGGUAUUCGUAUUCAAUUGUCAGAGGUGAAAUUCUUGGAUUUAUGGAAGACGAACUACUGCGAAAGCAUUUACCAAGGAUGUUUUCAUUG